rnacentral:rRNA from 1 species
GAUGAACGCUGGCGGUAUGCUUAACACAUGCAAGUCGAACGGAAUACUUUCGAGUAUUUAGUGGCGGACGGGUGAGUAACGCGUGAGAACAUGCCUAUCGAUUGGGGACAACAGAUGGAAACGUCUGCUAAUACCGAAUGUGCCUUAGGGUAAAAGACUUAUCGUCGAUAGAUUGGCUCGCGUCAGAUUAGCUAGUUGGUAGGGUAACGGCUUACCAAGGCGACGAUCUGUACUUGGUCUGAGAGGAUGACCAGGCACACUGGAACUGAGACACGGUCCAGACUCCUACGGGAGGCAGCAGUGGGGAAUUUUUCCGCAAUGGGCGCAAGCCUGACGGAGCAAUACCGCGUGAGGGAGGACGGCUUUUGGGUUGUAAACCUCUUUUAUCAGGGAAGAAUUGAUGACGGUACCUGAUGAAUCAGCAUCGGCUAACUCCGUCCCAGCCGCCGCGGUAAU